UACGUAGGUGACAAGCGUUGUCCGGAUUUAUUGGGCGUAAAGAGCGUGUAGGCGGCCAGACAGGUCCGUUGUGAAAACUGGAGGCUCAACCUCCAGACGUCGAUGGAAACCGUCUGGCUAGAGUCCGGAAGAGGAGAGUGGAAUUCCUGGUGUAGCGGUGAAAUGCGCAGAUAUCAGGAAGAACACCCGUGGCGAAAGCGGCUCUCUGGGACGGUACUGACGCUGAGACGCGAAAGCGUGGGGAGCGAACAGG
rnacentral:rRNA from 1 species